rnacentral:rRNA from 1 species
AGAAUCAACGCUGGCGGCGUGCCUAACACAUGCAAGUCGCACGAGAAAGGGACUUCGGUCCUGAGUAAAGUGGCGCACGGGUGAGUUAACACGUGAAUCAUCUACCUCCGAAUGGGGAAUAACUGAGAGAAAUCUUAGCUAAUACCGCAUAAUACCUACGGGUCAAAGCAGCAAUGCGUUUGGAGAGGAGUUCGCGGUCGAUUAGUUAGUUGGCGGGGUAAUGGCCCACCAAGACGAUGAUCGAUAUCCGGCCUGAGAGGGCGCACGGACACACUGGAACUGAAACACGGUCCAGACUCCUACGGGAGGCAGCAGUGGGGAAUUUUGCGCAAUGGGGGAAACCCUGACGCAGCAACGCCGCGUGGAGGAUGAAAUAUCUUGGUAUGUAAACUCCUUUCGAUGGGAAGAUAACGACGGUACCAUAGAAGAAGCCCGGCUAACUUCGUGCCAGCAGCCGCGA